GACUGAAAUUCUCUGGUCCCUGCCACCCACAUUACAAUGAUAAAAGGAAAAUUUGCAUGGGUCCUGCAAAAGGAUGACAUGAAAAUUUGUGAAUAGUUUCAGCUUUUU
ensembl:snRNA U6 U6 spliceosomal RNA